rfam:Pseudomonas sp. Bc-h sc_010, whole genome shotgun sequence.
GGAGGUGUGGCCGAGUGGUUUAAGGCAGCAGUCUUGAAAACUGCCGACUGUAACAGGUCCCUGAGUUCUUAUCUAAGGGCGAUCCUGGUUGCAUCCU